AGUCGAGGGGUAUAGUAGCAAUACUAGAGACCGGCGCACGGGUGCGUAACGCGUAUGCAAUCUACCUUUUGCAGAGGGAUAGCCCAGAGAAAUUUGGAUUAAUACCUCAUAGUAUAACGACUCGGCAUCGAGAUGUUAUUAAAGUCACAACGGCAAAAGAUGAGCAUGCGUCCCAUUAGUUAGUUGGUAAGGUAACGGCUUACCAAGACUACGAUGGGUAGGGGUCCUGAGAGGGAGAUCCCCCACACUGGUACUGAGACACGGACCAGACUCCUACGGGAGGCAGCAGUGAGGAAUAUUGGACAAUGGGCGCAAGCCUGAUCCAGCCAUGCCGCGUGCAGGAUGACGGUCCUAUGGAUUGUAAACUGCUUUUGCACAGGAAGAAACAACGCUACGCGUAGCGUCUUGACGGUACUGUGAGAAUAAGGAUCGGCUAACUCCGUGCCAGCAGCCGCGGUAAUACGGAGGAUCCAAGCGUUAUCCGGAAUCAUUGGGUUUAAAGGGUCCGUAGGCGGUCUUAUAAGUCAGUGGUGAAAUCUCCCCGCUCAACGGGGAAACGGCCAUUGAUACUGUAGGACUUGAAUUAUUAGGAAGUAACUAGAAUAUGUAGUGUAGCGGUGAAAUGCUUAGAGAUUACAUGGAAUACCAAUUGCGAAGGCAGGUUACUACUAAUGGAUUGACGCUGAUGGACGAAAGCGUGGGUAGCGAACAGGAUUAGAUACCCUGGUAGUCCACGCCGUAAACGAUGGAUACUAGCUGUUGGGCGCAAGUUCAGUGGCUAAGCGAAAGUGAUAAGUAUCCCA
rnacentral:rRNA from 1 species